rnacentral:rRNA from 1 species
GGACGGGUGAGUAACGCGUGGGAACGUGCCCUUCUCUACGGAAUAGCCCCGGGAAACUGGGAGUAAUACCGUAUACGCCCUUUGGGGGAAAGAUUUAUCGGAGAAGGAUCGGCCCGCGUUGGAUUAGGUAGUUGGUGGGGUAAUGGCCCACCAAGCCGACGAUCCAUAGCUGGUUUGAGAGGAUGAUCAGCCACACUGGGACUGAGACACGGCCCAGACUCCUACGGGAGGCAGCAGUGGGGAAUCUUAGACAAUGGGGGCAACCCUGAUCUAGCCAUGCCGCGUGAGUGAUGAAGGCCUUAGGGUUGUAAAGCUCUUUCAGCUGGGAAGAUAAUGACGGUACCAGCAGAAGAAGCCCCGGCUAACUCCGUGCCAGCAGCCGCGGUAAUACGGAGGGGGCUAGCGUUGUUCGGAAUUACUGGGCGUAAAGCGCACGUAGGCGGACUGGAAAGUCAGAGGUGAAAUCCCAGGGCUCAACCUUGGAACUGCCUUUGAAACUAUCAGUCUGGAGUUCGAGAGAGGUGAGUGGAAUUCCGAGUGUAGAGGUGAAAUU